CGCUCUUUCCGCCGUGGUGGAGCAGCAUUAUAUUGCAGAGGUGUUGUCGUGAUAAUGGAAUAAGUUAUGGAAAGACGAAAAUUCAAAAGGAAAGAAAAAGAAUUCUUCAUGACACAGAUCAAUUGUCGAGUGAUCCUCUAAAGAAAAUCCCACUGAAAAUUAACAGUUUAAACAAAAAGAGAUGAAAAAAGAGAGAUUAAUAUCAUAAUUAAGUAGAAAAACGAAGCAAAACCCUUUCAUGUACAGCUCAAACUCAUUUAUUUGAAAGGGAAAAGGAAAGAAAAAGAAGAAGAAGAUGGGAAUGAGGUUGUAAAGAUGACAAGGAUAAAUGAUUACCUUGAGCAGGGUAAGGAGAAGCAUGCCUGGGGUCACUCAUCUCUACCGAGACUCUCCAGAAUUGUAGAUGUUGAGAUUGAAGGAAAUACUGUAUUUUAGGAG
rnacentral:lncRNA from 1 species